GAUAAUCUGCCUCUUCCUCUAUGAUUCUUCAGAUUCUUCCAUUUCUCCCCCUGCCUCUAUAAAUAGCGUAGUUCUUCAGGUUUAAUGGAGCAAAGACGACGCUUUUGGAGUUCACGCUUAAUUAAGUGCUUGGAGGUUUAGGGAUUUCAAGUUGGUUGGAAAACUCAUCUAUCAAGUUGUUGCUGGAUCAAACAAAGCUGCUUCUAGCAGCGCUUCCUUGAACACGAGAAAGCUUGAUGAGGAAAUAGAAAAUCUUAC